UCUCUCACAGCCCAAAACCAACGAUCUCUCUCUCGCGCGUUCUCUGUCUCUCUGCUCUCUCUCCGCUCCGACCUACCAAUCUCACUGCUAUCUCGCCACUCCCACCCACCGACCCACCAAUUUCACUGGAUCUCCUUCCGUUUCCCUCAAGGUUCGUCGGUAGUCGGAUUCUCAGUUUUACAGAGCAAAAUUGGUUGGAGAAUUCACCGGGUUUGAGAUGGGCUUUCUUCUGAUUUUAGUGGCUUUCAUGGAAUCAGAGCAAUCAUGCAUCAACGAUCAGAGCAGAGAGCGGCUUCAUCAUUAGCCAAUGGGUGCCUUAAAUUUCAGAAAUACAACUCAAGUACGUGGAUUGUGAGGCUUCCGAUCUGUAAGUAUGAAACUACCUUAUUACGCAUUUGGUUGGUGUGCUUAGAUGUACUUAUGUUGUUAAAUGCAGAGCACUGGCUGGUG